rnacentral:lncRNA from 1 species
AGCCAAGGCCAUUACUGCCAUUUCUGCAUCUUUAUAAUAUCCACUAUGGGAAGCCUUUCCAUAUUUUAUAUACCUGUAAACUGUAAUAUUAGAAAUCAUUUUGAAGAAGAGUCACAACAAACAGCAUAAUGCCACAGCACAGAGACCCAGGCAUAGAUCCACACAAAUAUGAAACCUGGAUAUACGGAUGUAAUGUGACAAAUAGGAGGAAAAGCCUGGACUAACAGUGGGUUUUAGGACAAGUGAGUGAAUAAUCCACAUGGAAUUAACUUUUGUGAGAGUGUGGACUUAAUAUGACUUUGAAAUUUUUUCAUAUAGAAAAAAA